rnacentral:rRNA from 1 species
UUGAACGCUGGCGGCAUGCCUUACACAUGCAAGUCGAACGGUAACAGGGAGCUUGCUCCGCUGACGAGUGGCGAACGGGUGAGUAAUGUAUCGGAACGUACCAUUGAGUGGGGGAUAACGUAGCGAAAGUUACGCUAAUACCGCAUAUUCUCUCCGGAGGAAAGCAGGGGACCGCAAGGCCUUGCGCUCUUUGAGCGGCCGAUAUCAGAUUAGCUAGUUGGUGGGGUAAAAGCUCACCAAGGCGACGAUCUGUAGCGGGGCUGAGAGGAUGAUCCGCCACACUGGAACUGAGACACGGUCCAGACGCCUACGGGAGGCAGCAGUGGGGAAUUUUGGACAAUGGGCGAAAGCCUGAUCCAGCCAUGCCGCGUGCGGGAAGAAGGCCUUCGGGUUGUAAACCGCUUUUGUCAGGGAAGAAAUCCUUUGAGCUAAUACCUCAGAGGGAUGACGGUACCUGAAGAAUAAGCACCGGCUAACUACGU